rnacentral:rRNA from 1 species
AUUGAACGCUGGCGGCAGGCCUAACACAUGCAAGUCGAGCGUGCGGCGGACGGGUGAGUAAUGUAUGGGGACUGCCCGCUAGAGGGGGAUAACUACUGGAAACGGUAGCUAAUACCGCAUACUAGCGGAUAACCCAUAUGGGAUUAGCUAGUAGGUGAGGUAAUGGCUCACCUAGGAGACGAUCCCUAGCUGGUCUGAGAGGAUGAUCAGCCUCCCUGUGACUGAGACACGGCCCAGUCUCCUACGGAGGCAGCCGUGGGGAAUAUUGCACAAUUGGCGCAAACCUGAUGCCGCCAUGCCGCUUGUAUGAAGAAGGCCCUAGGGUUGUCAAGUACUUUCAGUCGGGAGGCUUUCCCGACAGAAGAAGCACCGGCUAACUCCGUGCCAGCCGCCGCGGUAAUAC